ensembl:lncRNA
GUCAGAGCCACUGAAAGUGAAGCACAACUCACCAUAAACAGGACCUCACAAGCCAUAAGCAUGAAAUUAGAUCUAAAUAUUGAUUUACUCCAUAUAAAUGUAUGUGCAAUUCCAGCCUCUGAGCUCUCUGCACAAGGAGAUUUAAUGCCUUUUCAGAAGCACAAGACUGAAACCAAAGCUGUGUUACAGUGCUCAUCACAAACUAUGCUUCGUGUUUCCCUCAGCAAGUAGCCCAUUUUGGAGCUCUCGUCCUUCACCCCAUGGGGCAGGUCGGAGCUCCCUGCACACCCUCUGCCUGGGUCUCCCCCAUGUGUUGCUCGGGCCCACCCUUAGGCCUCACUCAGGCCUGCAUCGGGCCUGCGCGUUGCCAUAGCGACGAGGCGUUGGCCGCCUACCCCUUUAAGAGCGUUCUUGGAGGCCGGAAGUGGCUCCGCGCGGCGCUCUGGUUUUCUCUUCGUCUCUGUGGUUUUCCUGCCUUUCUGCUUCCGGUGGCGGGCACCGCGAGGGGCGGCGUGGCAGGGGUCUGGGCCUGGGGUGGUCAUAGGCCGAGCUGGAGGUCAUAUUGCGGGCUGGAGGUGAGAAUAUGGGAGCUAGGUUAGUCAUUCUGGGAGUGAGGGUACAGAGGUUUGGGGAGGAGGGGUCAUAUAGCGGCUUGGGGUUAGCGCACGGGGUAUGGGAGGAAGUAGAAGGCAGAGGGGACAUGUUGGGGUCUGGGGUCAGGGUAUGGGGGGUUGCGGACAGUCAUAUUUUGGGCUGGAGAUGAAGAUACAGGGGUUUGAGAUGGUUAUACGGGGGGCUAGAGUUAAGGGUGGAGGUGAGGCUGGAGUAGAACCAGAGGGGUCAAAUUGAGGCCUGAGAGACAGGGCAGGAGAGGUUCAGAGGGUCUUAUUGGGGCUAGGGGUCAGGGAAUGGGGGUCUGGAGUAAUACUGGGGUCUGAACAGUGAGGGUGCAAGGGCUGGGGGGUUCAUAUUUGGGCUGAGGGGCAGGGUGUGAAGCAGGGAGAUGAAGGCUUGAGCAGGGCUGGGGAAUCAUUUUGCAGGCUGGGGAUCAGGGUAUGUAAGACUGGAAGGGGCACAGUGGGCACUGAGAGGCAGCAGGGUGCUGUGAGUAGUGGGGCUGUGGGGAGUAGGGACCGGGAGGGGAGGGGUGCAAAUGCAUAGGGAAUGUUCCUUGAGCAUCACAUGUCACGGGAUAUGGGGUGGUGGUUGCUUCUGGAAGAAAUACAGCCCCAACUCAUGGCUGAAGAUCACUAGGUCUUCUUGGGAAGCCAGCAUUCAUCAGGUGAGUGGGACCAAGGCAAGGCCAAUGACUCAUGUGCUCUCUCUGGGUGGGCAGCAGCCACACAGGAGGCCUCCAUGCCUGCUGGUGCCAUGGUAGGCUGAGGGCCUGGGGAUGGCUGCUGGCGGCUGUGUCUCAGCCUGGUGCCUGCUGGCCUUACCCGUGCCCCAGAUCAACCUCCAGAGGUCCCCCUGCUGGGUUCCUCCUAUGCAGUAACAGGUGUGAGCAUCCAUGCAGCAUUCUGAUGGUCAUGUAUGAUACUGCACACAACGAGUUGCUGUCUUCAGCCAAAGGAAAGUACUCUUUACAGCUUCAGGACUAAUUUCUGUAAUGUGUACUGCAUCUUUUAGAAGCUGUCUCAUACUAUUAAACUGACAUUGCCCUUCCUUUACAGGCAGGUUUUAGAUGUGGAAAGUAGAACUUAGGUACACUGAUGAUAGUUUUUUACCCCUUGAUUUAUCACAGGUAGUAUCUGAGUUCCCAAACUUUAUAUCAUGUAAUAGGGAAUACCAAUAGGCUGGUUUCUUUACUUGAACAAACGAAGGUUCUGUUGAAAGCCAUGUACUUUGCCCUCCUGUUACAUCUGCGCUUUUCUUUAGUGUUGACUUUUCUCUACAACCAAGGAGUUCAGCUGAGGUCCCAGCUAAGGCCCUUGUGUGUUCUUGCAGGUGUGGGGCAGGCCUGGAUUGGCAGCUGGCACCCAAACAGCCCAGGCUUCUGAAGAAAAAAUCAUAAUAGUUCACCACCACUAAAAAGGCACUUUAUUUUUGGUGUCUGGCACUGGUGUGUGGUCAAAAUGCUAUAGGAAAGGAUUUUAAAACAAGCAGGGGGUGGGAUGCUGUUUUUAUGAUCUGUUUCAGUUGAUGCUGGUGCAUAGAAGGUCUAUGUGGGGCAGUGGUCUCCAGCUUAAGCUGGCUUUCUUGCUAAAACCCUGACUGGGUAAUGGGCUCUGUUCAGAAAACACUGCACAGUGCUUAGGCAGUCUCCAUUUUAAUUUGCUUUCCUGUGGCAGUAAAGCAGUCCUGAGGGGUUUCUCUCAAGCAGCUUACUGUGCAUGAGCUAGAGGCUUUUGGGCUUUUACAGGAAGCUUGCCUGGGAUCAUGAGAGGAGCUGAAGUGUAGGUGUUAUUGCUACAGCCAGCCAGCAGCAGGGAGGGCCAAGUUCAGCACAUGACUGAGAUGACAGAAGUCUAAUGCUCAGCUCAUUUUUCAGUAAGGGAUUUGAACAGAGAUGCCAGAUGUUUAGCAGGGCCCAGGAGCAGGCAAAGGGAACAGCAUACAUUACUGGGUGCCUGCAGACGUGGGGCACUUCCAGUUAAAUCUGUGCAGUCGCCAGCAGCUAUUUGAAUGCAUGGGGCUAUCCUCAUUGGCUGUGCCCAGGGGAGGGUCCUACUUUGAGAUAGGGGCAGGCAUUAGGUCCUCUGGUCCUCCUCCACAGCGGGAUUGAAACCAAAGCCUGUAUAGAUUUGUGAGAUGAUAAAGUAACUGCCUUCUUAAAUGACACGCACCUUUGGCAAAGUGUUUGUUUCAACAGUGUCAGGCAGGCACAUGUUCAGAAUAACCUUGCUUCAAAGUGUGCCAGGCUGCCUGCAGCUCUCUGAGCUUGCAAGAUACUUGUAGAUAAAGCACAGUGCUUCCCAGUACUGCAUUCAGCUGAUGGGCUGAAUGCUUAUUGCUUUUUCUCACCCCUGUCAACUCUCUUUUUCUUGCAGCCCACACCUAAGUAUUGUACCUUAUGUAAAACUAUAGCAAUGAUGCAAUUUAACAUCAUCCUUCUGGUCCUUUGUGGACUGUAAGGUGAAUUUUGCUGCCUUCUGACUUCAGCCAACCGUGACAGUUGUGCUUGGAUUCAAAUACAUGGUGGCUAAAUGAAGGUGGAGUUUCUUGGGGGAGGGGGGUUGGCGCCUGAGCUGCUGCCUGGGCUCUUGUCUGAGGCUUAGAAACAGUGGCCUUCCAGUGUAUGCAUCACUAAGUACUGUGCUUAAUGCUUGCUGCUCUUUAUGUAGGUGUUCCUGCUGACCAUGGAGUGGCUGCUGGAUCUGCACAUUCACCAAGGUGGCUGAACUGAAGAUCUGUCUGCAUUAUGGCGAGAGUGCUGCUCCUGCAGUUCUGUUUGUUUAUACCUGUGUGGUCUCUUCAGGCUAUAGAAGGUAUUUUUGCCAAAGUAGAUGGUAAAUGUGAAUAAAUUGUAGUUCUUCAAGCUCAUUGUCUUUCUUUCUUAUUUAACCCCUGGUAUUGUGAAUAAUGUAGGAAGGAUUUUAACACGCUGGAGGUGUGCAUUUAGGCAAGGAGGCGCAUAAAGCUUUUUCCUGUGCUGACGCCUGUGUCCAGGGCAGCCAUGCUGGAGGGUUGUGGUGCUUUCAAGAUCUGUAGGAGUGAUUCAUUCCUGACAGUUAAUAAAGCAAUCCUGAAGAAUGUGAGAGCACGUUUGCAGUGCGCUGAGCUCUAAUCUCCACUAGAGGGUGUGAACGUCUGCAAGAAGGGUUGUGUUUCAUUGAAACUGGGAGACUUUGUUUAAUCGGAUGUGCAGGCAGUAAGACUGUGGCAGGAUUAUGUUCCAGUUGAAAAACUGCUCUCUGUGUUGGCAGCAGCCCAAGUUGCAUCUGCUUUAUGUAACCCAUCAGCUGCACUCGCUGUGAAGCCCAUGUGAUGCUCAGCCCUUGCCAUCGUGCAUCCUGUCAUGCUUUUGGGCAAUGUGUGUGUGUGUCCGGGGGGAGGCAGCUCUGCUCUGUGUUGGGUACUGCUUCCAAGUUCCCUUUCAUCUGAACAGUAAUAUCUACCCUUGCUAAGCAAGCAGCAAAUAGUAAGUUGUCAUUUGCACUGCAAAGAACCUGGUUUGGGGGUUUCUUUUUGUAGGGGGAAUUUUCACUGAAUUUGCAAUAUUCCCAAUGCAGAUCAAACCUGAGGCUGGUGUGCUUUGGAACCAUGCUGGCUGCUGAGCUGACACAGGCUGUGUGUGAGCUUCCCCUGUGCUUGGUGCUUAUACGGAGCUCUUCUCACAGUGGACGUACAGCUCCUUAACUCCUUUUGCUUCUGCAAAAAUAGUAAUGCUCUCUCUGGAGGUUUUAAUUCAGAGUAGGUCAGCAAGAAGCUGGUCACAGUGUUUUUUUCCCAGCUCCUGCUGGGCGCUGCUGUGUCACAGUCAUGUGCAUGGACUGCUGAGAAUGACCCCCAGCUCACACAGAUUCUUGCUACAAAAGCAGUGUGGG